rnacentral:ribozyme from 1 species
UUUUUUUUUUUUUUUUUUUUUCUUCUUCGCCGUCGCCCUUUCAAAGAAUUUUUUUUAGGGUUAUUCUUAUUUUAACCAUAUGAGGUUAUUUCAGAGUAAGAUGCUUCAUGAUAAUAAUCUUGGUAAGAACAAAAUUGGUUUUUAUUACAGAGGUUUAUUCUUUCGAUUAGUGUGGUUUUUUUUUUUCUUUUUUGUAAAAAAGAAAAAAAAAGAGAAAAAA